UUACUUUCAUAUUUCACUAUAUUUACUGCCGCUGCGCAUUCAACCCCUACAGCCUACAGGGUGAAUGAACAUUUCUUCAAAACAGUAUUACGGCUCUGUUCUAUUCGUCUUCAUUUUAAGAAGAGUGGUUGCGGCUCGAGUGCCCGAGGCGCAAUAAUGUAUACUGGGCUGUACUGUUGGAAAAUAGGACGGUGAACCGAGAAAAUCUUGGUUACAAUUUUUCUAAUUUAACGUAACUGGAAUGCCGUAACAGCUAAACAUGAUAACUGUCAGUCAAGAAUAGCGCUACGCACAUCAGAUUUUAUGCAAGGCCCGGGGUAUCUACCAUGCCUUCCCAUUCCGGAAAACUAAGAUGUCAAGCUUAACUAGCGUGUAAAUUCACUGUCCAAACUGAUUUAAACUAAAAAUAACAAAUAAACAAAAUUUGCAAAGCUAAGCUAAAGCUAAAGUCAAAAAUUCAAUCGCAAUAUAUCUACUCCAUAUAUUGCUUUGGGUACCUUUCAUUAUUAAGUUCCACGUAGACCUCUAAUUAUGCCAGUAAUUAGUACUCGAAACUCGAAGCUGUCUAAUAUGUGAAUUAUUAAGUUAUAUAGCUACGAAUGAUAUUUCUACACAAUAAUUUUCGGAAUUCCUAUUCACAACUCACUUAGCCUAUGAAAUUUUGUGUCUACACAUACAUUUAAGUUCACGAACAAUAAUUAUCGACAACAGUUCACUCCUUAAUAAUUACUAACAGUCAUGAGUUCCCAUUCAAAUUUGAACCUUAUUCCUUAUUGUUAUAAAGAAUAGGAAUUAUUCAAGCCGUAUUAACGUUAAUUAUUACUAAACGUCGCAUGGGAAAAGACCAAACCAUAUUGUACAGUGAACUUCAUUUAAAUAGAUCAUAACGACAAAGUUUGACGAAAAUAUUAUAUUAUGAAAAUUAAUUUUAAGUAUGCAUCAGGGAUGUUAGGGACCUCCGUAACCGUAACCUAAUUUAUCGGAUAUCCGAUAUAAAAAAUAUUCGUAACCGUAACCGAAUCUGAAAUAAAAGUUUCUGAUAAUAU